UACGAAGGGGGGGGCUAGCGUUGCUCGGAAUUACUGGGCGUAAAGCGCACGUAGGCGGCUUUCUAAGUCGGGUGAAAUCCUGGAGCUCAACUCCAGAACUGCCUUCGAUACUGGAGAGCUCGAGUCCGGGAGAGGUGAGUGGAACUGCGAGUGUAGAGGUGAAAUUCGUAGAUAUUCGCAAGAACACCAGUGGCGAAAGGCGGCUCACUGGCCCGGUACUGACGCUGAGGUGCGAAAGCGUGGGGAGCAAACAGG
rnacentral:rRNA from 1 species